CCUGCCCCUGGAGGUGUUGCAGAUGAGGCUGCACUGUCACCGUGUGUCAGUAGGUGGCAGAGAGAAGAGAGGCUACAUCUACGCUCAGCAUUCUGACCUAGGAAUGUCUGAAUGAUUAGUAGCCUAACACU
ensembl:snoRNA LOC120099078 small nucleolar RNA SNORA17